GCUCGGUUGGCUCAUUGGUAAGAGCACCUUAGGAUGCCUGGGAGUCAGCAGCAGAUCCUAGGGGAAGGAGGUUCGAUUCCUCUACGGAGCA